GAUGAACGCUGGCGGCGUGCCUAAUACAUGCAAGUCGAGCGAACAGACGCGGAGCUUGCUCCUCUGACGUUAGCGGCGGACGGGUGAGUAACACGUGGAUACCCUACCUAUAAGACUGGGAUAACCUCGGGAAACCGGAGCUAAUACCGGAUAAUAUAUUGAACCGCAUGGUUCAAUAGUGAAAGACGGUUUUGCUGUCACUUCUAGAUGGAUCCGAGCCGCAUUAGCUAGUUGGUAAGGUAACGGCUUACCAAGGCGACGAUGCGUAGCCGACCUGAGAGGGGGAUCGGCCACACUGGAACGUAGACACGGUCCAGACUCCUACGGGAGGCAGCAGUAGGGAAUCUUCCGCAAUGGGCGAAAGCCUGACGGAGCAACGCCGCGUGAGUGAUGGAGGUCUUCGGAUCGUAAAACUCUGUUAUUAGGGAAGAACAAAUGUGUAAGUAACUAUGCACGUCUUGACGGUACCUAAUCAGAAAGCCACGGCUAACUACGUG
rnacentral:rRNA from 1 species